rnacentral:rRNA from 1 species
AACCGACACAGGUAGGCGAGAAGAGAAUUCUAAGGCGCGCGGAAGAACUCUCGUUAAGGAACUCGGCAAAAUGACCCCGUAACUUCGGGAGAAGGGGUGCCCCGGUAGUGUGAAUAGCACGAGGGGGCCGCAGUGAAAAGGCCCAAGCGACUGUUUAGCAAAAACACAGGUCUGUGCGAAGCCGUAAGGCGAAGUAUACGGGCUGACGCCUGCCCGGUGCUGGAAGGUUAAGGGGAGCGGUUAGGAGCAAUCCGAAGCUGUGAACCGAAGCCCCAGUAAACGGCGGCCGUAACUAUAACGGUCCUAAG